rnacentral:rRNA from 1 species
GGCAGCCGCCGCGGGAACACCGGCGGCCCGAGUGGUGAUCGUGAUUAUUGGGUCUAAAGGGUCCGUAGCCGGUUUGGUCAGUCCUCCGGGAAAUCUGAUAGCUCAACUAUUAGGCUUUCGGGGGAUACUGCCAGACUUGGAACCGGGAGAGGUAAGAGGUACUACAGGGGUAGGAGUGAAAUCUUGUAAUCCCUGUGGGACCACCUGUGGCGAAGGCGUCUUACCAGAACGGGUUCGACGGUGAGGGACGAAAGCUGGGGGCACGAACCGGAUUAGAUACCCGGGUAGUCCCAGCCGUAAACGAUGCUCGCUAGGUGUCAGGCAUGGCGCGACCGUGUCUGGUGCCGCAGGGAAGCCGUGAAGCGAGCCACCUGGGAAGUACGGCCGCAAGGCUGAAACUUAAAGGAAUUGGCGGGGGAGCACAACAACGGGUGGAAGCCUGCGGUUUAAUUGGACUCAACGCCGGACAACUCACCGGGGGCGACAGCAAUAUGUAGGCCAAGCUGAAGACUUUGCCUGAAUCGCUGAGGGGAGGUGCAUGG